rnacentral:misc_RNA from 1 species
UCAUCAUGGCGUCCGGACCUGACGAGUAAGAGGAGUUCGAUGUACUUGAGUCAUGUUAUUAAUGGUUGCCAAGAUAUCAGCCAGCCAGAUGUAGAUUAUCUGAAUAAGAACCAUUUGUUGAGAUGACUGAAGAGAAAACAGACGCAUUGAGUCUAACGGAUGACGAAGACAAUGAAGAUUCGGAUUAUGAACCGGCACUGCCCGAAAUUUCGGGUGUACUCAGUAAAUGGACAAAUUACUUGCACGGGUGGCAAGAUAGAUACAUAGUGUUGAAAGAAGGAACUCUUAGUUAUUACAAAUCCGAAAAUGACACAGCGUUUGGAUGUCGUGGGGCAGUCAGUCUUGCGAAAGCGAGUGUUUCGCCUCACCAGUUUGACGAGUGCCGGUUUGACGUGACGGUCAAUGACUGUGUGUGGUACCUGCGGAGUGGGUCGGAAGAGGAGCGACUCCAGUGGAUCAAUGCCAUCGAGUUACACAGGGUAUUUCAUAACAUAGAGGUUGAGCAAGCUGAAUCUGGUUAUGGGAGUGAAAACAACCUCCGUCGCCAUGGUUCCAUGAUAUCCCUGACCUCAGCAGCAAGUCUGUCCACCGCCUCUACUUCCUCCUUCAAGCGGGGUCGUGGUCUCAAGGAGAAGCUUGCCGAGAUGGAGACAUUCCGUGACAUCCUAUGUCGACAGAUUGACACUCUCCAGAGCUACUUCGACAGCUGUGCCUCAGCUGUCUCCCAAGGUGCCAUACAGGAAUUGACCGACCCUGACGAUAUUGGUGACCCGGACGACCUUCAUGAAAAUGAUGCUGACCACUCUAAUGUCCACUUCCAGGGUCCAAGCGGAAAGGACCUAGGUGGUCCGUCUGCGUCCAUACUGCAGCAACAUGGUGGACAUGCAGUGGACUUCAAAGGAGAGUCGUUUACGUUCAAGGCCACCACCGCCGGUAUCAUAGCAACCCUGUCCCACUGUAUGGAGCUAAUGUCUCAACGAGAGGAUGCCUGGCGGAAACGGCUGGAAAAGGAGGUAGAGAGGAGAAAGAAGAUGGAGGAUGCCUACAAAACCACUGUAUCUGACCAAAGUAAACCAAGGCUUGUGAUUGGUGGACCAGACUUUGAGGAAGGUCCUCAUUGUGCCAUUAAGGAAGAUGAAUUCUUUGAUGCUGUCGAUGCAAGUCUUGACAAGCUGGAGGAGAAAGUGGAGGAGGAAAAGCAACGGAAAUUAAAAGAAGAUCAUGUGAAAGAUGUCCCAAACAUUGCCCUGGAUCCGUCUAAUAUACUUUACCAGGAGAUAAACAAUGAGGUAAACACGCACCUGCUGCGUAUGGACGAGAAGUGUGAGGACGGGGAGGACACAUGGCAGGUUAUCGCAGAGGAGGGCGACCUAAAGGUCUACAAACGCGAGAUUGAGGUUGAUGGAGUCGUAGUCGAUCCUCUCAAGGCCACACACAUAGUUACGGGUAUCACGGGUCAUGAAGUGUGUCAGUACUUCUGGGAUAUUGAUGUCCGAAUGGAGUGGGACGUUACGCUAGAGUCAAGUGUGGCGACUGAGAUACACUCGGAAGAUACCAUUGUGAGUCAUAACAUCAUUAAGCGAGUAUGGCCGACGUCACAGCGCGAUGCCCUGUUCUGGUCACACAUCCGCCAUGUGCCCAGCUCCCAGGAUGAAACUCCAGACCGCUGGCUCGUGGUCAAUGUGUCCACUAAUCACCCUAAAGUCCCAUCCAACAAGUUUGUCAGAGUGACCAUGAAUGUGGCGAUGAUCUGUGAAACAAUAAUAGAACCACCAAAAGAUGGUGGAGACAUCACCCGCAAAGACAUCAAGUGCAAAAUUAGUUACACUGCUGAUGUUAAUCCUGGUGGAUGGGCCCCUGCCUCUGUACUACGGGCAGUAUACAAGCGAGAGUAUCCCCGCUUCCUGAAGCGAUUCACACAAUUUGUUCUGGACAAAACCAAAGACAAACCCAUUCUCUUCUAACCGUCAGCAUCAUCCUCUCACAGAAACGGCCAUAUGUUACACAUCUGAUAUCUAAGUCAAAUUUAAAUCAGACAUUCUCUCACAAGUCUGGCAACAUGUUACACUCCACAGCCGAAAUGUAAGCCAAGCGGGAUGUGCUCUCACAAGUCUGACGAAUGUCACACUCCACAGCCGAAUUGUUAGCCAAGUGAGACUCACUCUAACAAGUCUGGCGAAUGUCACACUCCACAGCAGACUUGUUAGCCAAGAGGGACUUGCUCUCACAAGUCUGACAAGUGUUACACUACACAACCGAAAUGUUAUCCAAGAUGAACUCACACUCACAAGUUUGACGAGUGUUACAGUACACAACUAAAGUGUUAGCCAAGUGGGACUCGCUCCCAUUCACCCCUACAGUCACAUUUGAACCGUACCAAAUCAAAGAAAGAGCAAGUCCAGUUUAAAAAUGUACGGGUGAAUGAGUUAAAGGCAGUUGUUCCUAUUCAAAUCUAAGGGGGAAUAAUUUCUAUAGAAAAAGGGUAAAUGUCUGCCAAGGGAACCUAGUGAGUGAUUUUCCCAAGAGGGUCACUUGCACUGUGUAGCUGUUGCUCUUGGGAGAGUUGUCAUUGUUAUUUGACUUGUUAUUUACUUUAAUAAUGAAUUGUUCAGAUUUUUUUUUAUGUAAGAUGAUGUGGUAUGCUUGUGAUGAUGCAACUUCCCUAGAUAUAGUUCUUUAGAGUAAUGGUUUCUGAUUCCAUUCUAAUCUAUGAUAGACCUCUAGUCAUGUUUUACUGGAAAAAGGAUCAUUGCACAUUUUUAUAUAUUUUUAUGAUAAAAAAAAUGCAUGUAGACAUCUGUAUUUAUUAUUUAUUCAGAUUUUCUUCAGAGCACUAUGAUUUUUAUCUUUAAGUUCAAAUUUUGAUAAAAAAAAUAGGAUUGAUUUUGUAUAAAACAAAAUAUAUAGUGUAUUAACUGUUGCCUAUCAAUGUGGGACUGUGUCUAGGAGACGUGGCACUCCUACGAGUCGUCAGGGACACUGGGUCAAAUUUUAGCACAUAAAACAAAUAUCUGAUUACUCAUUCAAAGAUUAACACGAAAAUUCUGUUCGUUUUUUUGGGGUUUUUUUCAGAUGAAAACCGAAGUAUUUAUUAUCAUAUAAUGAAGACUUACAUGUGACUAAAUAAUCUAGGAUUUAUUUUUUACGUAUGCUGCCUUAAAUAAAACAGGUCUUGUAAUCAAAGGUUUGCUGUUAAUUUUAUGCCAAUUACAAUUCACAAGUGAUGUCCUGCUGUACCCUGGCAGUGUUUAUCUCCGACUUUUAAUGAUAAUGUGAAUCUACAAAUUUAAUACGACUGAGCAAUUCAGAUCAGGUGUCAAAUAUAUCCGACCUUACAACCGCGAAAAACACAAAUUCAAGUGUGCACAUUUGUAUUUUUCCCACACAAACCGAAAAGUAUUAUACAUGUUUAACCUCAUUAAAAUCAUAUCCUGAUUUACUUCAAUACACUGUUUAGCAGUUUUGCAGUCAAAUAAGAUCUAAUUUCAAUCUUCAGCAUGUUCGAUUGGAAACGUAAGAUUGUAACGUGAAAGCGGAACCAGCUUACAGCAUUACCUCUGUUUAAGGGUAGCCAAGCCUAAAGCAUGGUAGAGUGUAUCAUCUUUUGUUAUUCUUUUCAUCUGUGUUCAUCAUCACAUAAUAGAAUUCUGUCACAAUGAGGAAAAAAUAGUUAAGCUGUAAAUAAAUGUAUUAGAAAGCACACAUAUUGUACAUUGGAUGAUUUCACUAAAGGAAGACUAUUUUUUUCCCCUUGUUAAAUCUUAUUUGUUAUUUACUCUAUAAACGAAGAUAAUUAUAAACUUUAGGCCUUUGUACGGCGUUGGAUCAUUUUGAAAUUACUUUCAUUGAUGUUGCGGAAAAGUUUUAACAAAUAGCACGACCAGUGGUUGAUGCAGGCUGUAUAUUCAAGAGGUCCAGUGAUCGAAUCUUGGUAGUGGAGCCAAGAUGUUUUUAUGAAAAAUAACAUUAUGAUAAAUGUAUUUCUGUCAUACAAUAAUUAUGAUAAUUUGAGGUUCUUAUAUACCGCUUUAUCACAACCUAGUUUCAUAGGUCAUCUCAAAGUGGUUCAUAUACUACUCUUUGCUUUUAGCAAAUAGACAAGCAACUCCCCAAGUGAAAACCAUUUGGAACUCUUCUUUGUUGGAGAUAGAACACUGAGCUGGGACACUCUACCUUAAAUCUGUUCUUGCAUAUACGCAGAUGUUAUAUAUAGUCGAGGUAUAUUACGAAUAGGUUGAAAGUGAGCUCAUCAUUCUGGUAGGUAUACACUUGUAUAGAAAAUAUAUUUAUUCAAUCUUGAAUUUUUCUUAACAGAGUAAAAUCUUGCUUAUAAUAGAUACACUGUAUUUUUUUAACAAUAAGAAUAAAAGUGUAAUUUUCAUACUGAUGGAACUAAAAUGAAAUCCCCCCAAAUAAGUUGACAAUAAGCUGCAUUAGAUUCACCACUAACGCUUUAAGUGUAAAUGCCAAUGUUUGUAUAUGGUGUUAUAUUACAGUGCGAGUGUGAAUAUAUGAUAAAAGUUAUAUAAAAUAUUAAAUAUUUGUAGAAUUUUAAGAAAAUUUACUUGUGUGCAAGGUGCUUGAAAUUUUGUAAUCAAAUUUCGAAAUGAAUGGGUAUUUAUUAGUUAAUGUUAAAAUCAAUUUAGUUUUGCGAGAUGAAUUUUUUACAUUAGUUCGUUAGAAGAAAAAAAACUGUGCAAAUUUUUAAUCUUUACAUGAUUUAUUAAUUCAGUAGAUAAAAUGUAUUAAUAUUAAAAUUGCCUCCUCGCAAUCGCAAUCAAGUAUUUGGUAAUAAAGGUCCGAGUGCAUAGGGUCAGGAAAUGAAGUUCAAAUGAAGAGAAAAUGUUUUACUGAACAUACCUUACAACCUUUGAAGCAUGCCCGAUACAAAACCAAUUUUGAUUGAUGUGUAGUCUUUUGUAUUUAACUUUUUAUUUCAACCACCCAAUUAGAUUUUCGUCAUUAAAAUGAUGAUUGUUGCCGACAUCUGUUGUAUAUAUCUGUGUUGAUUGUCCCAAGAACUACACUCUGUCCCCGCACAUAGUUUUUCAUCAAUUUGUAUUGUAGUUAGUGUAUUUUUAUUUUGUCUUUGAGAAACACUGUUAAAAGGGUUUCAGAUACACAAAUGUUAUGUUUUUUCACAGAAUACCCACUACAACUGCAUCAGCUGAUUUUACAGAAGUUUCAUUCUGGUAUAUGCUCAAUGAUAAAGUUUGUCAGUUGUUUGACAAACGUUUACAUUUUACAAGUGUAAUUUUUUAAUUUUGUAUACGUUUCCAUGCCGUAGUAUCAAAAGGUCUUACAUGAUAACCUGUUUUUUUCGGGGGGGUUUUCCGGCAAGCAUUAACACCUGCAAAAUCACCACAACAGAAUGUAAGAAAACAUACCAGGAACAGAGUUAGCUAAUGAAUUAAGGGUUGUGUUGAGUAUCUGUUGCAACACAAGUUGUCAAUUUAAACCUUUUAUAAGUUUUGAGCUUUAGCUAAAAUGCUGACUUGUAAUACCACGGAAUUAGAUUAGAUCUAAGUCCAUGGUAAUACAGUGAAAGUUUUGUAAUCUGACAACUCAACAAUAUAACCCAUGGACAUUGCAUAUAUAUUGGUCAGAUUUACCUGUCUAUUCUGACAUCCUGUAGGAUAUAACAUUGGUCAGAUGAACCUGUCUAUUCUGACAUCCUGUAAGAUAUAACAUUGGUAAGAUGAACCUGUCUAAUCUGACAUCAUGUAGGAUAUAACAUCGGUAAGAUGAGCCUGUCCAAUCUGACAUCCUGUAGGAUAUAACAUAUUGGUCAGAUUAACCUGUCCAAUCUGACAUCCUAUAGGAUAUAACAUAUUGGUCAGAAUAACCUGUCCCAUCUGACAUCCUGUAGGACUUAACAUAUUGGUCAGAUUAACCUGUCCAAUCUGACAUCCUGUAGGAUAUAACAUAUUGGUCAGAAUAACCUGUCAAAUCUGACAUCCUGUAGGACUUAAGAUAUUGGUCAGAUUAACCUGUCCAAUCUGUCAUCCUGUAGGACUUCACAUAUUGGUCAGAAUAACCUGUCAAAUCUGACAUCAUGUAGGACUUAACAUAUUGGUCAGAUUAACCUGUACAAUCUGUCAUCCUGUAGGACUUAACAUAGUGGUCAGAUUAACCUGUCCAAUCUGACAUCCUGUAGGACUUAACAUAUUGGUCAGAUUAACCUCUAAAAGUUGUAUUUGGUAGUUUUGGUAAUAAGUUUGAAUUUCACCAUGAUCUCGGAGCAAAGAUGUUUCCAGAAUAUGCAGUGGUUGGAUUAGACAGGACGUCAGAAUACAUACAGGUCACUUUGUUAUCAAGUUAGGUAUGUUACACAGACAACGUGUUGGUCUAGAUCUGCUAAAAAAAUAAGAGAAUAAAAUCUACCAUGUGACCUUAUGAUUCUACAGCAUCAGUGUAUUCCAAAUUACUGUGAUAUAUUGGGCAUUUUACACAGCAAAUACGUUUGAAAAAGUUCAAACUAAAAACACCUUUUUUCCAGUAUUAUGAAAUCAUUUCAAAGGUGAAGCUAUGAUUUUCUAUAAUCAAAUUACGAUUUUAUUGUGAUAUUGAUUUUUCUUGUAUUGUGUAUAAAUUAAAAUUAGCCUUAAUGCUUGCUUGUCAAAUAGUUGCAGCUAAGCUGUAGAAUCAGGCCCAUAUUUGGCAGAGCUUGACAUGUGGAGUUUGUACUAUUUAAGUGUAUCAUAAGAAACAUUUACGAAAUGGAGCUAAUUUCUUAUCAGCAUGUUUAUCACUGGGUGUAAUCCUGUCUAUGCUAAUUUCAGUAUAUUGUUGCAGAAAUCUAUAUUUAUUCUUGUCUGAUGUUGGAUGGAGACAAUUCUGUGGGUAAAUUAGGCAUUGUUAACCCGUUCACCCCUAUGUAACCUCAGUGGACUCUACCAUGCAUAUAUUUGGAUGAGUCCAUUAUGGUCUACAGUGGUGAAAGGGUAAAGCUGUGUAAGGUAAAUUUCGAUCUUUGUGUUACUGGGUUGCUUCCCCUUAUGUAAUGCUAUUCUAUGUAAUAUAUAUCACCUUUGCUCGCACAUGAUUAAAUAACCCAUUUGCAGCAGAAAACAUGAUUAAAACAGUUUUAGAGUGUUGUGCAAAACAGUCAGUUCUGUUAGAAAUUUCUGAUGAUUUGAAUUAAAUUAUCUUUGAUAACGAUGUAAAAGGUUGUAUAAGAUCAUCUUUGAUCACAUUAAAGAUGUGUGAUGAUGAAUUGUUCAGUGGAGGUGAACAUUUGAUAACAUUUUUGCCGUAAAUUCUCUACCAUGCAAUUUAAAUCAAAUGUGAUUUUCAGGGGCGGGGAGCGUGGGAUUUUUUUUGUUUUUCUUUAUGAUUCACUUAAGUUACACAGGCGAUGUUCAGGAAGUAAUUAAUAUAUAUACCGGUUCAUACAUUCAGACCAAAUUGUCACCCUGUCACGUUGACCUGUACGUGGAAUAUUCAUAUCUGGCAAUUGCAUUGAUUGUUAGGUAUGCCCACCUGGUCAUUGUUCAAAUGUGUCGAGUAUAGCAUACUGUACACGUGAUAGGACGUCACAAUGUAUGUGGAAUAUUCAUAUCUGACAUUCACAUCGAGUUUUAGGUAUGUAUGCCCACCCUUUCAUGGUUCAAGUGUGUCGAGUAGAAUAUACACGUGUGGGAAGUCGCAACUGUUUCACCUGUAACUUCGGUAACCAAUUACAAUAGAUCUAUCUGUCCUCCCUAAUAUGAAUACUGACUCGCCUGCCACAUAUUAUGGUAAACCAAGGUCAACAUUUCAGGUGAUGGCAGUCUGACUAUAUACAGGGUCUAUCUGAGCCGUCACAAGCGUUCAGUCAUUUUGUAGUCCGUGUAUAUGAGCUUUAAGUGCUUGUGUCUUGCAGCUUUUGUAUAUUUUCUGAAAUACUAUUUUAUACCAUGUGGUAAAAAAAAUACAAUGCAUUUGUGCGGGAGUAAAAGACCAUAUUUAUUUUCUAAACAAUUGUUUUAUAUCAUGAAUUAUUUACUAUUUGUAAAUACAUGUAUCCUUUUUUGCAGCAGUUCUGUUGUGAAAUACUGGGCAUCACAAUGCUGCAAUAAAUACAUAUUGAUGAAAUUUCA